GUUGUAUGGUUAAGUGACUAAGCGUACACGGUGGAUGCCUUGGCAGUCAGAGGCGAUGAAAGACGUAGUAACUUGCGAUAAGCCCAGAUUAGGUAGUAACAACCAUUUGAGUCUGGGAUUUCUGAAUGGGGAAACCCACUUACAUAAGUAAGUAUCAUUAACUGAAUACAUAGGUUAAUGAGGCGAACCGGGGGAACUGAAACAUCUAAGUACCCCGAGGAAAAGAAAUCAACCGAGAUUCCGAAAGUAGCGGCGAGCGAAAUUGGACUAGCCCUUAAGCUUUACACGCGUUAGACGAACGGUCUGGAAAGUCCGACGAUACAGGGUGAUAGUCCCGUAGUUGACGACGUGUGUUCAGUGAAAUCGAGUAGGGCGGGACACGUGAUAUCCUGUCUGAAUAUGGGGGGACCAUCCUCCAAGGCUAAAUACUACUGACUGACCGAUAGUGAACCAGUACCGUGAGGGAAAGGCGAAAAGAACCCCUGUGAGGGGAGUGAAAUAGAACCUGAAACCGUGUACGUACAAGCAGUAGGAGCACCUUCGUGGUGUGACUGCGUACCUUUUGUAUAAUGGGUCAGCGACUUAUAUUCAGUGGCAAGGUUAACCAUCUAGGGGAGCCGUAGGGAAACCGAGUCUUAACUGGGCGUUCAGUCUCUGGAUAUAGACCCGAAACCAGGUGAUCUAGCCAUGGGCAGGUUGAAGGUUGAGUAACAUCAACUGGAGGACCGAACCGACUAAUGUUGAAAAAUUAGCGGAUGACUUGUGGCUAGGGGUGAAAGGCCAAUCAAACCUGGAGAUAGCUGGUUCUCCCCGAAAGCUAUUUAGGUAGCGCCUCGGACGAAUACUACUGGGGGUAGAGCACUGUUAAGGCUAGGGGGUCAUCCCGACUUACCAACCCUUUGCAAACUCCGAAUACCAGUAAGUACUAUCCGGGAGACACACGGCGGGUGCUAACGUCCGUCGUGGAGAGGGAAACAACCCAGACCGCCAGCUAAGGUCCCAAAUUACUACUAAGUGGGAAACGAUGUGGGAAGGCUCAGACAGCCAGGAUGUUGGCUUAGAAGCAGCCAUCAUUUAAAGAAAGCGUAAUAGCUCACUGGUCGAGUCGGCCUGCGCGGAAGAUGUAACGGGGCUAAGUAGUAAACCGAAGCUGCGGCAAUAUACUUUUGUAUAUUGGGUAGGGGAGCGUUCUGUAAGCGGUUGAAGGUGUGUGGUAACGCAUGCUGGACGUAUCAGAAGUGCGAAUGCUGACAUGAGUAACGAUAAAGGGGGUGAAAAACCUCCUCGCCGGAAGACCAAGGGUUCCUGUCCAACGUUAA
rnacentral:rRNA from 1 species